CCUACGGGAGGCAGCAGUGAGGAAUAUUGGUCAAUGGACGAGAGUCUGAACCAGCCAAGUAGCGUGAAGGAUGACUGCCCUAUGGGUUGUAAACUUCUUUUAUAUGGGAAUAAAAUGUUCCACGUGUGGGCUUUUGUAUGUACCAUAUGAAUAAGGAUCGGCUAACUCCGUGCCAGCAGCCGCGGUAAUACGGAGGAUCCGAGCGUUAUCCGGAUUUAUUGGGUUUAAAGGGUGCGCAGGCGGAUUUUUAAGUCAGCGGUAAAAUCGUGGGGCUCAACCCCAUCCAGCCGUUGAAACUGGGGAUCUAGAGUGUGCGAGAGGUAUGCGGAAUGCGUGGUGUAGCGGUGAAAUGCAUAGAUAUCACGCAGAACCCCGAUUGCGAAGGCAGCAUACCGGUGCACAACUGACGCUCAGGCACGAAAGCGUGGGUAUCGAACAGGAUUAGAUACCCCGGUAGUC
rnacentral:rRNA from 1 species